rfam:Beta vulgaris subsp. vulgaris chromosome 7, whole genome shotgun sequence.
GAGAGCCAAAAUGAAUUGAAAGAUUCAAGUUUGGUUCGGGAAGGGAUCAUGAACAUUUUGAAAUGAAUGGAAAGAUAAUCUUCGAC